GUAGGUGGCAAGCGUUGUCCGGAAUUAUUGGGCGUAAAGCGCGCGCAGGCGGUUCUUUAAGUCUGAUGUGAAAGCCCACGGCUCAACCGUGGAGGGUCAUUGGAAACUGGAGAACUUGAGUACAGAAGAGGAAAGCGGAAUUCCACGUGUAGCGGUGAAAUGCGUAGAGAUGUGGAGGAACACCAGUGGCGAAGGCGGCUUUCUGGUCUGUAGCUGACGCUGAGGCGCGAAAGCGUGGGGAGCAAACAGGAUUAGAUACCCUGGUAGUCCACGCCGUAAACGAUAAGUGCUAAGUGUUAGGGGGUUUCCGCCCCCUUAGUGCUGCAGCUAACGCAUUAAGCACUCCGCCUGGGGAGUACGACCGCAAGGUUG
rnacentral:rRNA from 1 species